UCCCUUGUGGCUCAGACAGUAAGGCGUCUGCUUAUGAUGCAGGGGACCUGGGUUCAAUCCCUAGCUUGGGAA
rnacentral:tRNA from 1 species